rnacentral:lncRNA from 1 species
AAACAACCAGAUCUCUUUUUCCAGCUAGCUCCGGCGUCGGGUUGUGCCGGCGUCAGAGGCUCCCUUUCUCCUCCUUAUCUCCUUUUUCCUUUGCUCCUUCAGCCUCUCUUCUCCCUUGUGGCGAUAUGUACGGAUCUCUGGUGGUAGUUUUUCUCGGCGGUGGUCUCGAUCUGCUCCGGGGGGAGAGGGAUUCGCCGGUUUCCACUGUCCUCUGGAGAUCUGACGAGCCAGUAAGGGGUUGGUGCGUUGAAGUAGUCGGCGUUUCUAGGGUGAAGUUUCACCAGAUCUGUUUUUCAAGUUUUUAGAUCUGGUUUUGUCUUCGGAUUUGGAGGCGCGUGUGGUCGUGGUCGAGUCUCUCCUCUGUUCUCUGUCUCUGUUCUUAUCAUCCGAAGGUUCUCUUCGUCGUGGAUUGGAGUUGAAGCCGUCUCUUUCCACCACGGCUCGGCGUCUUGUCGUGGUUGUGAGGGUCGUUUCUGCUCAGGUUAGGCUUCGGGUUAGACCCGACGGCGCGUGCACGGAGUUGAGGUGGUUGUGUGGCUAUCUUUUCCUCUGUGGUUUGCGUGUGCAGUCUAAGAUUAGUGUGGCGCACUGUCGUCUAUGGCUGUAGCGUCUGCUUCUUCGGCGACUGCUCUCUCCUUCUUCGCCAGUCGCACUAGCCUCUCUCUCUUGCUUGUACCUUUACGGAGGUUAUGAGCCUUCAGUUCCAGCUUCUUCUGGGUUGCUCGCCUUGUGGUGGUGCUCCAGUGGUGGCGCAGCAAAGAGACCGAGGCAGGUUCUCUGUCUUCGGGGUAAAGCGUCGGUAUGAGGGUUCUUCGGAGUCUUUGGAUCCUAUGUCCCGCGUGUGAGAUUUGCUUGGAAUUACGGUCAUCCCAGUACCUGCUUGGCCUCUUGGUUGACUAGGUAGACCGUGUCCCUUCUCUUUUGCAGGUUCUGAUGGUUGAGGGUUGGUGUUGCUUCCUGCCAGCCCGUGUUCCUGAAGGCGUGGUGUUCCUGUAGUCGGCUGCUGGGUUGGUGGUUUGCAGCGGUUCUUGGACUCUCCUCCUUCUGAAUAAAGCUCGAUCUUUGUCUGGUACGGGUGUUACUGGUCUCGGACCUUGCUGUUUGUGCGUGUUGGAAGCAGAUUAGGAGGUCAUACGCAAGCUGUUCUUGGUUGGACCUUAUCUCAAAGAGCUGUUCAUCGG